rnacentral:rRNA from 1 species
AUUGAACGCUGGCGGCAGGCCUAACACAUGCAAGUCGAGCGAGCGGCGGACGGGUGAGUAUUGUCUGGGAAACUGCCUGAUGGAGGGGGAUAACUACUGGAAACGGUAGCUAAUACCGCAUACCAUCAGAUGUGCCCAGAUGGGAUUAGCUAGUAGGUGGGGUAACGGCUCACCUAGGCGACGAUCCCUAGCUGGUAUGAGAGGAUGACCAGCCACACGGGAACUGAGAGACGGUCCAGAGUCGUACGGGAGACAGCAGUGGGGAAUAUUGCACAAUGGGCGAAAGACUGAUGCAGCCAUACCGCGUGUGUGAGGAAGGCCUUCGAGUUGUAAAGCACUUUCAGCGGGGAGGCGUUACCCGCAGAAGAAGAACCGGCUAACUCCGUGCCAGCGGCCGCGGUAAUAC